rnacentral:lncRNA from 1 species
UUCUCCCUGUUGGUGAAGCUGGCCUCAAACUCGCGACCUCAGGUAUUCGAUGAGAUCAGGAGCAUGCCCAGCUCUCCACUGCGGGCUUCAUGUAAGAGGAGAGCCAUGAUAAUGUAUUGCAUUAUUCUUGUACAGUAAUCAGGAUGCAACAGAGUCAUCAGCAAAUAUACAACUUCAUAUCAACUAAAGGUACUUUACACAAGAGAAGAGACUCCAAGGCAACAGAUUUCCUAUAGCAGUCUUUUCCUAAGAGUACUAAGGUAAUUAGCCUCAACAGGAGAUAAUUUCGGUUCACAGGGGUUGCUGUUGUUUUAAGUGUUUCUGGGAAAAUUGGAUUUUCCAUUGAUAGCAGUUUUAACAUGUCACACUGGAGCCAGAGUGAAUUAAACUGAAGAGCUACACAGUCUAAACAAACAUUCCUUCCCAUUAUCAGAAGCCUGACAACAUAAUAGCAUAAACUAUAGUCAUGUGGUCACAUUCACAAGUAAUGCAGAAACAAUUAAAAAUCAAAGAAAUGCUACAUUUUGUAAAGCAGACUUAGUUGAGGUAAGCAUGUUUAAAAUUAUUACUUUUCCUUCCUCCCCUACAAGUUUUAUAUUGUGCUUUAAAGUUGAAAAAAAAAUAGCAAUGUUUGUUUGAAUCACGAUUAGUGAUUAGAAAAUCCAAAUCUCUCUAGCCUGUGUUUUGUAAUACCAAAGUAGACCGUGGUACCAUUGCAACAUAAUUCAAGUAUUUAAACUUUGAAAACACUGCUGAUUUGACAUGCUUAUUUUUUAAUAUUUUUCUGUUUUACAAAAAUUGCACAAAUUACUGAAAUAAAUUUGGAGCUGUAAUUCCACUAUGUGUUACCUUUCCUCAAAGACGUUAAUCAAAUUUGGUUAUAUUUACACAUGUAAUGGAUGAUAUAGUUUACAUGUCAAAAGUAGGGUGCAUUUAUAGAUAAUUUUUCUUAAUUUCAUAACUAAGAGAUUUUUAAAAACUCAUAAAAAUUGAUAGAAUUACACUUCAGUAGGCUCUGAAAUGAAAACAUUUUGUCAAUAAUUUUGAAAUUAUAAUAUUACUUUCCUACAUUUAGAUGACUUGUGAAGAUAAUAAAAAAUUAUCAAAAUGCUUUUGGCUACAGAAUGUUUGUGUCAUAAAAUAGUAACAGAUUUUUAACUGUUAUUCAAGGAAGGUUGUACUAAUUAUAUUUCAGAAAAUCGUUGAGACUUAGACUUUCUCUCUGCAUGCGUGUGUACAUGAGAGAAAGAACUUGCCUUCAUGUGAUUUGAGCUUGGUAACCGCAUAUCUAACACUUUCCAAGACCCACAUUGUCAAGUACUCCAUUCGCAUAGGUAGAUUCAAAUUUACUGAACCUUGUUGUUUUUAUUCAGAAAAGGAAAUAAAUCAACUAUCAUGAUAUUAAAACAUCUUCAAGUGAGGCUUUGUUAUUUCUUCUGUAUCAGUUCUCUAAGUAGUGGUGUGGAGAACUCACUUUACUCUUAACUUCAUCUUGAUUUGAUGUCUCUUUUCAACAACUGAACAUUCUUCUGAAUUCAGGGAUCGAGAUCGAGUGGUAAGUGAGCAGGGAAUACCAAGAUGCACCAAAAUUAAUAGUGGUAGGAAUUCAAUUCCACUUAAUUUAAAAAUACCUAUUGUAAAAAUUGCUAGGCACUCUAAAGGAUAUAAUAAUUGCAAAUAGUCACUCAAUCCUUAGGGAACAUACAAGAAGUGAGGAGAUAAACUAUAGAAAUAAUCUACACAAGGUACAGUGUGAAAAUACUUUUUAAAAAAGUGCUGGGAGAACAAUAAAAAAGAUAAGUUCUGAAAGUAUCCUCAGACCAGUGAUUCCCAGGCCAGGCCACACAUGAGAAAUAGCUAGGAAAAUCUUUAUAAAAAUUGAAAUUAGUACUUUCCUGGACCCACCGGUUAAGCACUUUUGGGGGGUAAAAACUGAGCAUAUAUAUUUUUUAAAACCUCUCCUGAUAAUUCUGAAGUACAAUCAGAUUUGAAAACACUAGUCCACACUAUCUAAGCAUAAGCUAGUUACAAAAUCUUAUGUAAAUAUAUCCGUAGCUCUCUUAAUUAUUUUCUAAAUGGGGCUCCCUCAUAUGGAACUGACCCUUCCAAACUUAACUUCCACUUGCAAAAUUCAAAACAUCCUCCAAGUAGUUCCACCCAGCUUCAAUACUUUGUUUCCUCAGACCACAUUCAGAAUUUAAUACAAACAUCAAAUAUUUGUUGACAUAUAUUUCCUUUUUUGCAUACAUUCUUAGUGAUCUAUUCACAUGACUUAU